UGUUUUGGGAUUUGGGUUCAUCAGUUUCUUUUUGUUAAGUUGGUUAGUAUGUUGGAAUUUUUUUAUUUUUUUUGGGAGGGGGGUUAACCUUGGGGUAUUUCCUUAGGGUGGAGAUGGUGUUGGGAUCAUCUGUCCCCUUGCUUUUGAUUCCAGGUACUAUGGUUUCCAUAAUAUAAACCAUCAUGAAGUUCAAGAAGGGGAGUAAAGUAGAGGUUAUGAGCAAAAAGGAGGUGCCGGUCUCAUGGCGCUGUGGUGAAAUCAUAUCUGGUAAUGGACAUACUUACAGUGUCAAGUAUGAUUGUUAUCCAGGCUCAAUUGGUGAUGCUGUAGUAGAGAGGGUGUCUAGAAAGGCUAUCAGGCCUUGUCCUCCUUUUGAAGGUUUUGAGAGUUUUGUGGUUGGUGAUGUUGUGGAGGUUUUCGAUAGCAUGUCAUGGAAGAUUGCUAGAGUCUUGAAGGUUUUGGAUAGGGAUCAUUAUUUGGUGAGGCUACUUGGAAUUCCACAGGAAUUCAGAAUCCACAAAUCAAGCAUCAGGGUCCGCCAAUCUUGGCAAGACAACAAAUGGGUGGUGAUUGGAAAGGGCUCUGGAAGAUGUGAUGAUGUGAAAUCUAACAAGCUAUCAACUCCAAGUUGUUAUCAGAAGACAAGGUUCCAAAUGCUGAAAGGUGGAGAUGAUCACUUUGCUGUUCGGGAGAAUGCUGGACAACAGGAAUCUCAUAUGAUCCCUACUAGAGCACUGAAGAGAGAAUCUCCUUACCACUCCUCUAUUCUUGAUGGAUGUACCGGACAUGCUAGAAAAUUAAGAGCAAUUGAGAAAGAAGGGAGGCUUCAGAGAUUUGUUCCAGCCCCAUUACAAGAAAAAGUAGAUGCUGUUGCCAACCCACAAGAAAAUAUGGGUGAAAAGUACAUGCAUUCUUCCUCUAUGAAUAAAUCAAACGGACAUAUUGAAGUGGAGAGGGCGGAUUCUGAUAGUGAUGAAUGUUCUGUUUGUAGUUGUAGUGUUAAUAGCGGGGGUCCAAAUAAGUUUCCGAGUCACUUUGUUGCAGGUCGUUGUCAAGUUUCAGAUUCCCUUUCUAGUGAUGCAGAAUCUUCUUAUGGCUUGGGAAAUCAGGAAAACUCUCUAUAUCCUCCAGAAGAGGAAGUGGCAGCAAGUAUCCAUAGAUUAGAGUUGCAUGCAUAUCGCUGCACUCUAGGAGUCUUGUAUGCUUCUGGCCUCUUAAGUUGGGAGCAAGAAGCACUGUUGACAAAUCUCCGGAUUAGUCUACGCAUUUCCAACGAUGAACAUUUGUUGGAGCUGAAGAAUUUAAUUUCUGCUGGAAAUGGGCUACAGUUGGAUGCAUGCAUCUUUGCUUCCAAAGGCCUAAUGAUGAUUGCAUGAUGCUGGGGUUGAAGCCUACCUCUUCCCCUAAACUGUGGGAUAGCAGAAUCCACUCCCUUCCAAAUAAGCCUAUUCAUGCUGAUUCACUUAUUCCAGCGGCUAUACUCGUUGAGCAAUAUCUGAUUCUGGCCAUUUUUUGGAUUGUCAAGAUACCUUCUGCGGAAGAAAGAUAAACCAGGCAUUUGGAAAAGCCACCUUAUUAUUGACGUGGAAGGGCUGUCAUUUUAGGGAAAGUAAAGUUAUACCAUUCAAAUAAUACGCAGAAUCUUUGUCCAGUGGCCACAAAGAUUUGGAGUAUCCUGUUUUCACUUGUUAGUAUGGCUUGGAUAAUGCUAAGCUUGGUGAGGAAACUUCUUGCUGGUUUCCAUAGAGUAUGUAUGGCAUGGGGUAAGAGGAACUACGAAGGCGUAGAAGGUAGCUCCUUUAUACAUUAUAGAGGUGUGUUUGGAAAGAAAGGAAUUGCAGGACCUUUGAUGGCAAGAUCUCCAUUUGUGUUUUGAAAGGACUUGUUUAGCUUUUUUGUCUGAGAGGAGACUUGCCUUUCACCUUGAACUCUUUCGUGGAUGUUUUAGCAGUGGUACAUUCUUGUUGAUAUAGUGCAAUUGUUUUUUGUUUCGUUUCCUUGUAUGUUCAGUGCACAAGGUUGUGCCUUCUAAGUUCUGGUACUUAUUAAUUUUUUGCCUUUAACUUAUAAACAAAAAGUGUGGAAGUUGUAUUAUGAUUUGUCAACAAUUUGGUGGAUACAAUUUUAAAUUUCUUGUAUUUUUGUGUAAAUAAAUUCCAUGGAGAAGAAUUUUUAGGUUUCAAGGGAUGAAAACUCGGACACCGACAAGGACACGGAUACAGACUCGGGAGACAAGAAUUUUGAAAAAAUGGAGACUCAAACACUGUGCGUGUCAUGGAAAUAAAUAUUUAUAGAUUCUUUAUGCUUAUUCAGUUAUCAUUUACUUAUUUACACAAGUACUGUAUCUAGAAACAACCAAAACUAAUAUUAUACUGUGCAAUUCUUACAUUUCAUCUUUUAAAUAUAAUAAUAUAAACGAAGGUUUUAUCAGGUUGAUAUCUAUGUUUUUGUAAUCUGUACCUUACAUUUUUUAAAUAUCGUAAUUUAUUUUCCAACAUCAGGCUUUACGUUUGCAAAUUGACCCAUGUUGUUUCACCACCUGUGUUUAAGUUGAGACGUGUGUGCCCGAUGUCCUCUGUUCAGGAUUAGUAAGAUGAAUUGGAUGGACCACCCGGCAUGUUCCAUAUGUUUCCUGAGGUGUAAUGUGGCCCUGGCAUGUCUGCCAUGGAUACAACCACCAGUUAGGUCUGUCAUGCUUCAUAGUUAGGAAGAAUGUGAAGGAGGCAGGUCUUGGUUCUUCUAGGAAUAAGCAUGUCCACCGCUAGGCUUGAUGGGCUACAGUUGAAUCAAGAACCCAACGAUACCCAAGGCCUCAACUUGCUUGGGCAAGAGAGUUGACUACAUCAAAGGGAGUGAAUUGGUAGUAUCGAGGAAGGAAAAUUUGGGUAGCUGCAAAAAGGAAAGAUGCAAUAAGGUGUGGGGAUUUGUUAGAUUGCUCUUGGAGAAAACCUAGUGUUCUGCUUUCAAAGGAGAUGGAGAAAACAGCAUUGAGAAUGGGUCUGAGGUUGAGAAAAUUUCUGUUUUCCCUUGACAAAUUUUGAGGAUGAUGCUUUUUUCGAAGAAGGUGAAACAAAUGGGAAAAUAAAGGCCUGGGUUGUAUACUUGUAUGGAAAUUCGGCAAGAAUGUGAGGGAGAGAGAAACAAUGCAACAAAGUGUUAACAUAACUUGUGAGAAUGGGGCGAUGAAGUUGUGAGAUGUGGAGGGGGUUUAUUGACCGUUGUCUGUGUACUUUGUGCUUGGAUGGGACAACCUUUUUUGUGGUUAAUUCUUUUCUUUUCCCUCUUUUGUGAUAAAUUAUUUUUCUUCCUUUUUUUGGGACCUUUUCUAUAUAAGGGUGGUGCCCUUGGCAUGUCCAAUGCUUGGAAGAAAGGAUGGCUCUGUGUUCAUGUCAUCAUUUAAGGUUGUAUGGAAUAUGCACAUACAUUACCUACGUGCAUAUAUGUAAAGAUAUUUAGAAAUGAAAACAGGGAUGGUAGGGGUAGUAGCACUGAUGGAAGAUAAGAUGGGAGAAAAUAGAUUAAGGUAGUUUGGACAUGUGACUCUAUAGUAGAUCAGUCGAUGCAGUAAUUAGGAGGAGUGAUAUGGUUACAAUGGAUGGUAGCUCUAAGGAGAGGAGUAAGACACCAAAAUUUAUUUUAAGGCAGUAAUUUGAAAAAGACUUAGAUUCCUUGGAUAUCUCGGAACACGAUGCCCUUGAUAGAGCUUAUUGGGAACGGAUUCAUGUAGCCUACCCUAAUUGUUUGGGGCCUUAAGGCUCGGUUUGGUUUGGUAUGGUUUGUGUGUGUUCAUAUAUAUUCAUGUGGAUAAUAACCUGAACUACUUCCAAAUUUGCAGUGUUCUUGCAUUACUAGUCUUGUCUUUGGGAGCAUGGGAUUUCCAUGGAGCAUGUUCCUUCAAAGUGCACUGUCAUCGAAGUGUUUUAAAUACAUAAGUAGGAAAUAUGAGUUUCUCUAAGUUUUCUCCUAGUAUGUUUGCAUCGGUGGUUAUGAACAGGCAAAGUUAGAGGUCUUUUCGAGAAACAGGUGUGCGAUUAAGGUACGGGACUAUUGGGGAACAGGAAUGUGCUUGACUAGUUAUAAAUUGGGAAAAAUGUUAGACUUCAAGAGAGAGAAAACAAAAUCUGAGAUUUUAUGUUCUUAAGAUGAGUGUGGAGGCAUUAUGAUUUACCAGAAAAUUCCUUAUUUUCCCAGGACUUUGGACUGGCAAUGCUUGAUCGCUAGCUUCUACCAGAUUCUGCACCUCUUCGGAUUCAUUUCUGGGGGCUGCUCAACCACAGAUGUUUUUAAAGCCAAGGAUGAGGGUGAAGAAGACUAAAGACUAAAUUCUCUCAUGAUUUUAGAAGAAAUAGAACAGAAGAAACAAAUAAGAUGAGCUAUUGACUCGAUGGUCGCCUGCAAAUGUAGUGCAAGAAGAGUCGAAGACAACCACCAAGCUGCUGAUUUCAAACACAAACAGAUUAUGACGAACGAGGGAAAACAAGGCGGAAGUCAUCAUCAUUAUCCUUGCAAUUUUCCGCCAAUUUGUGUCGGUGUGUAUUUAAGGUUGUGUUCGGAUCCUGAAUUUGUCGAUGCAUUUAUGGCGGAAAAGGCAAAUAUGAUGAAAAAAGAUAAAGUUAUAAUUAAGUGAGAAGCUAAAUUUAACUUGUCCAAAGGAGCGGGGAAUGAGAAAGUGGUGGCAAGCAUAAUUGUGGGAUUUGAAGUUGGGCGAGACCGUGAGAGAGUAGUUAUAGCAGGAAACUUUCUGUGUUAUUUUCGCUGUUUCACCCAAGAGAUGGAUUACCUUGUGAAUUUGAACUUGAACUUCUUAUAG